rnacentral:lncRNA from 1 species
GAAGACCUGAACUCACCUCUGCAGUCUGGCCAAAGCGGGCGGGUCUCAUUAGCAUCCGUGUGCGGCUUUGCCUCCCAGUGCCCUGUCACUGUGCCCUUCAGGGUCCCAAAUUGUGCUCACCUGUUGACUCUAACAGACUGAUCUGGAAGUAAAAAAGUGCCACACUUAUCAAGUGUGCUGAGCUCUGCCACGCUGCACCGUGAAUGUGUAAGCCUUGUGCUCACUGCCCUACGUCUGCUCUCGGGUGAGGGUUCAGUUACCGUUUGGAGGGAAGCAUGCCAUGAGUGACCAACAGGUCACAUCCCACCCCCACCUUCUAGAUGAGGUCAGCAUAGGAUCGCCUGAAAUUGGCAACUAUUGCACGGACUUCACCUUUCCUCAGGAGACUGUUGGAAGGACACGAAAGCAGACACCAAAGCUUCUUCAG